rnacentral:sRNA from 2 species
CGCCUGAUUGCGCCGAGCUCCAUCCAUCGGGCGAGGACACCCACGAACCACUGGAUGGAGACGGGGGACCCACCGGUCCGCCGACAAGCAGACCAGGAACGCCGGUAUCGGUUCCUUGGGGUGAAGUCUGAAGCGCUCGACACACCGUCGAACGACGAAGACCGGGCAACCUCUCCUGCCCGAACCCGACAGCUGACCUCGCAGGCGCUGACGAGAGGAACU